rfam:Microgenomates bacterium 39_7 MPI_scaffold_637, whole genome shotgun sequence.
GCCAGGGUAGCUCAGUUGGUUAGAGCACAGGAUUCAUAAACCUGAGGUCGUGAGUUCGAGUCUCACCCCUGGUA